CUUUUGAUGGCGACCGGCGCACGGGUGAGUAACACGUCUCCAACCUGCCUCAUACUCGGGGAUAGCCUUUCGAAAGAAAGAUUAAUACCCGAUGUUAUAGUCCUACCGCAUGAUGGGAUUAUUAAAGAAUUUCGGUAUGGGAUGGGGAUGCGUUCCAUUAGUUAGUUGGCGGGGUAACGGCCCACCAAGGCAUCGAUGGAUAGGGGUUCUGAGAGGAAGGUCCCCCACAUUGGAACUGAGACACGGUCCAAACUCCUACGGGAGGCAGCAG
rnacentral:rRNA from 1 species